AGCUAUGUUCACGCAGAUCUCUG
rnacentral:siRNA from 1 species